rnacentral:rRNA from 1 species
CCUACGGGGGGCAGCAGUGGGGAAUAUUGGGCAAUGGGCGCAAGCCUGAACCAGCAACGCAGCGUGAAGGAAGAAGGCCCUCGGGUUGUAAACUUCUUUUUUCAAGGACGAAACAAAUGACGGUACUUGAUGAAUAAGCCACGGCUAACUACGUGCCAGCAGCAGCGGUAAUACGUAGGUGGCAAGCGUUAUCCGGAUUUACUGGGUGUAAAGGGAGUGUAGGUGGGACUGGAAGUCAGUUGUGAAAACCAUGGGCUCAACCCAUGGAGUGCAUUUGAAACUGGAUUUCUUGAGUGUCUGAGAGGCAGGCGGAAUUCGGGGUGUAGCGGUGAAAUGCUUAGAUAUACGGAAGAACACCAGUGGCGAAGGCGGCCUGCUGGACAAUAACUGACGCUGAGGCGCGAAAGCGUGGGGAGCAAACAGGAUUAGAUACCCCUGUAGUC